rnacentral:misc_RNA from 1 species
UUAACUAUUAUAUAGUACUCAGACGACACUAAUAUUCAGGGUUUUGGGUCCUCUGGCGGGCGCUUACCAGCCGGGGCCGGUAGUCGGGCCGGAGCCUAACGGCCCGCCAAAGCAACAAAGUAAUAAUAACAUAGGGUGGGAGGUCUACCCUUGCGGGCACGAACUCUGUAAUGAUCCUUCCGCAGGUUCACCUACGGAAA